rfam:Vitis vinifera, whole genome shotgun sequence of line PN40024, chromosome 6, chr6
GAGUUGAUAAAGGAGAAAUGGUUGGCAUCUCCCUCGACAGGGAUGAGAACUGCCUUCGGGCUUAUCUGUUAUCACACAAAUUAUCCCCUUUCUGGGAAAUGUGGGAACUGAGUUCCCAACCCUGAAGUUAAACAAAUAAUGAUAUCUUGAUUUU